rnacentral:rRNA from 1 species
AUACGUAGGGGGCGAGCGUUGUCCGGAAUGAUUGGGCGUAAAGGGCGUGUAGGCGGCGGUGUAAGUCUGGAGUGAAAGUCCCGCAUUCAAUGUGAGAAUUGCUUUGGUUACUGAAGUGCUAGAGUGCGGAAGAGGUAAGUGGAAUUCCCCGUGUAGCGGUGAAAUGCGUAGAGAUUGGGAGGAACACCAGUGGCGAAGGCGACUUACUGGGCCGUAACUGACGCUGAGGCGCGAAAGCGUGGGGAGCGAACAGGAUUAGAUACCCUGGUAGUCCACGCGGUAAACGAUGAAUGCUAGGUGUUGCGGGUAUCAACCCCUGCAGUGCCGGAGUAAACACAAUAAGCAUUCCGCCUGGGGAGUACGGCCGCAAGGUUGAAACUCAAAUGAAUUGGCGGGG